ensembl:lincRNA
AUGACCCGAACCGAAGGCAGAGGCUUUAACCCACUGAGCCACCCAGAGGGGCUGCAAAGAUUCAUGAGGUUCAAUCUGCAAAAUCUUCUCAGAGCUUUGGAAGAAAACACAGUCCAAGAAUACAAGGCACAUAACACUUUUCAGAGAAGGCUUAGAAAAAUGAAGUCAUUUCCCUGGAGCAACAGAAGAGAGAGAGAGAGAGCACUCCAGGGAGGAUGGCAGGCAGAGGGAGAAGCAGGCUCUCUGCUGAGCUGGGAGCCCAAUGCGGGGCUCAAUUCCAGGAUCGUGGGAUCACGACCUGAGUUAAAGGUAGGUAUUUAACCGACUGAGCCAUGCAGGUGCCCCUCCAAUACCUUUUCAUGUCUGGUCACAAAACAGAAAUGGAACGAACAUGGAAAUUAUAAAAAGGGCUCUGAUAAGUCAGUCUCAAGCCCCCAAAAUUGAAAUCUGUUGUUAUAAAAGCCAGCCCAAGAGGCACCCGGAUGGCUCAAUCAGUUAAACGUCUGACUCUUGGUUUCUUUUUUUAAUUCAAGUGUUUUGUACAGAAUUUAUAACUUAAUUAAGUGAAGGAUUUAAGCUUUCCAUGACCUAAAACAUCAAAUUUAAACUACACACAGGCUCCAUCAGUUUGUUGCUAGUAUGACUGAUUGGCAAUGAAUAAUAUUACAGUCUCUUCCUUUAGAACAUUACAAACACUAGAAAAGGAGGGACAACUUGGGUUCCAUGAGUCAAGCAAUUUCCAGACAUGGAAGAAAUAGAUUAGGAGUAAGAGAAAAGAAGUCAAGAUAGAAUGAAGGAACUCAGAAUGGCAGCAAAGAAUAGCUCACUACAAAUAUUCAUCUGAGGGGCACCUGGGUGGCUCAGUGGGUUAAAGCUUCUGCCUUCGGCUCAGGUCAUGAUCCCAGGGUCCUGGGAUCAAGCCCGGCAUCGGGCUCUCUGCUCCACAGGGAGCCUGCUUCCUCUUCUUUCUGCCUGCCUCUCUGCUUACUUGUGAUUUCUCUCUGUCAAAUAAAUAAAUAAAAUCUUUAAAAAAAUAUAUUCAUCUGAAAGAACUCUAAAAUUGUUACAAAAAUACCAGUCACCCUCGCACCCAUCACUCCACCAAUCUGGCCUCCACCCUAACUCCUUCUUCAAGAUGUUUCUCCGUGAGAACAAGUUUCCAACUUUACAGGUCUUGGGAUUCCCUUGUAUAGCCAGUACUGCUGCUGACACUAAUGAGUCAUUCCACAAGGCACCAAGAAAGUCAGUGCACUCACACAGAUUUACAGAAAUCACUCCAUGCAAGAAAAGACUAUGUCCUGGACACUAGGAUACAUAAUGCAAUUAUCUUUCUCCCAGGAGAUUUUUUCCUAUCACUGAAAAACACACAAGAGUGGCGCAAAAAUAUACCCUGGUGAGGCUGGCAAUAACACUGUCAGCUCUCCCCUCUGUGAACUACGCCCAAAGUCAGAGAGCUGUGUGGGUAGGUCACAACUGCAGCGGCUAGACUGAGCCGUCCUGCAAUCCCCCAACAUGCGUUGGACUCCUAGAGUGUCAGUCAUUAUACCAAAUUGCUUUAUGCACUCUAUCUCCUACAACCUCAUAGCCAGCUCUCCAGGUAUGUCCAAGGAUUCACAAUGUGUAAGUGAAAGAAUCAAAGUAAAGGAGAUUAAGUAUUGGUCCAAGUUUCUGUGGUUACUCAACAGCCGAGCUAGAAUUUUAAAUCAAGUUCUUUUGCAACCAAACUGAAAGCUUUUCAUCAACAAAGCACCAAGACAAGGAGUCCUUGGCAGGUGGGACACUUGUGUUGGACUUUAAUGUCAUAUCACUAUCAGUCACAUGCACAGUAUCAGUCACAUACAUUUGAUUCACUCCAGUUCUAUCUUUAUCAAUCCCUUCUUUCCCAAGUCUUGCUCAGCUCUAGGUUCUGAAGAUAUUUACUAAUUCCAUAGCAUCUACGUUCAAGAACUUCAUUUACUUUGUAUUUCCAUUAUAUAAACAUUUAUUAAGUGCUUAGGCCAGAUACUGACCAAGCAUUGCCGAUGCAGUACCCAACUUAUAUCCAGAAGGAACAAGUGCAGCCUCAGCCCACCGUAAUUC